CACGCACAUUUUUCAAAAUCUAGACGUGUGCAAAUUUAAUACACCUUUGAUAUUUUUCAUAAUAAAAAUUGUAUGUUGCAUCUCCAUUUAGAUAAUUGUUCAACCUAUCAUCUCGUACGUGUGUCUAGAUAUUUCGAAACACAAAUUCGCUGUACAUACGUCGCCAUAUUACGAGUGAAUUUUUUUUUUUUUUUUUUUUUAAAAUCUCAAUAUUCCGUAAGUACCUAAACAUGGAAAUGUGACAUUUAUGUGCGCGCGUACAAUAUUAUUAUAUGGUUCGUGACACUUGACCAUAAAAUAUUACUUUUUUUGACAUAAUAUUAUUAUUGUUGUGCCCAACCGCGUAUAAUAAUAUAAUCUCGUAUUAUAUUAUUAUUAUACAAAUACCAUAAUAUUAUUAUUAAACGAGUAUGUAUUAUACGAAACGCGUGUGGGUGGGGAAAUACUCGCGUAUAAUCUUCGAGUGCACGAAUGCAUUAAUAUUGCAUAACCGAUACGCCGUGUUUA